rnacentral:rRNA from 1 species
UAAUUCUAGAGCUAAUACAUGCUGAAAACCCCGACUUCGGGAGGGGUGUAUUUAUUAGAUAAAAAACCAACGCCCUUCGGGGCUUCUUGGUGAUUCAUGAUAACUUAACGAAUCGCAUGGCCUUGCGCCGGCGAUGGUUCAUUCAAAUUUCUGCCCUAUCAACUUUCGAUGGUAGGAUAGUGGCCUACCAUGGUAUCAACGGGUAACGGGGAAUUAGGGUUCUAUUCCGGAGAGGGAGCCUGAGAAACGGCUACCACAUCCAAGGAAGGCAGCAGGCGCGCAAAUUACCCAAUCCCGACACGGGGAGGUAGUGACAAUAAAUACUGAUACAGGGCUCUUUUGGGUCUUGUAAUUGGAAUGAGUACAAUUUAAAUCCCUUAACGAGGAACAAUUGGAGGGCAAGUCUGGUGCCAGCAGCCGCGGUAAUUCCAGCUCCAAUAGCGUAUAUUAAAGUUGUUGCAGUUAAAAAGCUCGUAGUUGAACCUUGGGCCUGGCUGGCCGGUCCGCCUCACCGCGUGCACUGGUCCGGCCGGGCCUUUCCUUCUGGGGAGCCGCAUGCCCUUCACUGGGUGUGUCGGGGAACCAGGACUUUUACUUUGAAAAAAUUAGAGUGUUCAAAGCAGGCCUUUGCUCGGAUACAUUAGCAUGGAAUAAUAGAAUAGGACGUGCGGUCCUAUUUUGUUGGUUUCUAGGACCGCCGUAAUGAUUAAUAGGGAUAGUCGGGGGCAUCAGUAUUCAAUUGUCAGAGGUGAAAUUCUUGGAUUUAUUGAAGACUAACUACUGCGAAAGCAUUUGCCAAGGAUGUUUUCAUUAAUCAGUGAACGAAAGUUAGGGGAUCGAAGACGAUCAGAUACCGUCGUAGUCUUAACCGUAAACUAUGCCGACUAGGGAUCGGGCGAUGUUAUCAUUUUGACUCGCUCGGCACCUUACGAGAAAUCAAA